rnacentral:rRNA from 1 species
UACGGGGGGCAAGCGUUGUUCGGAAUUACUGGGCGUAAAGGGCUCGUAGGUGGCCAACUAAGUCAGACGUGAAAUCCCUCAGCUUAACUGGGGAACUGCGUCUGAUACUGGAUGGCUUGAGUUUGGGAGAGGGAUGCGGAAUUCCAGGUGUAGCGGUGAAAUGCGUAGAUAUCUGGAGGAACACCGGUGGCGAAGGCGGUUACCUGGACAGUUACUGACGCUCAGGCACGAAAGCAUGGGGAGCAAAAGGG